AUGUCUUCUCCCACUUUGAAAGGAUUUGUCCCACUUGACACCAAUAAACUGUAUGGGAUGCUUGAAACUAUGGUGAAAGAAGAAAAUGAGUCUACUAACAACGUUUCAAAUGAAGAGUUGUUUCCUGAGAUUAAUGUAAUUGUAAUUCCCAGCAUAAGUGAUCAAAAAGGCUCUUCGUCUGGACAUAACUUCGUGCACUCUACUAGAUCUCGAAACGUAUGA